rnacentral:siRNA from 1 species
CAUGCCUAGAUUGCUCUACUCGAC